rnacentral:ribozyme from 1 species
UACCCAGCAACUCCUAUCCCUACCUCCACGUGGUACCGGCCGGAAACUAUGAGCAACCUUAGGGAAGUUCGGGUAACCAACCCCGUUGGGAACUUUGAUCGUAGGCUGACAGGGAAGG